rnacentral:rRNA from 1 species
UACAGAGGGUGCAAGCGUUAAUCGGAAUUACUGGGCGUAAAGCGCGCGUAGGUGGUUUGUUAAGUUGGAUGUGAAAUCCCCGGGCUCAACCUGGGAACUGCAUCCAAAACUGGCAAGCUAGAGUAUGGUAGAGGGUGGUGGAAUUUCCUGUGUAGCGGUGAAAUGCGUAGAUAUAGGAAGGAACACCAGUGGCGAAGGCGACCACCUGGACUGAUACUGACACUGAGGUGCGGAAGCGUGGGGAGCAAACAGG